rnacentral:lncRNA from 1 species
UCAUCAUCUACCAUGUGUAUGACCUCAUCAUCUACCAUGUGUGUGACCUCAUCAUCUACCAUGUGUGUGACCUCAUCAUCUACCAUGUGUAUGACCUCAUCAUCUACCAUGUGUGUGACCUCAUCAUCUGUCAAGGAAAGGGAUGGCUGCUUGCUCUGUGUACCAGAUCCUUCUCGGGCCGGGGAGAAGUGUGUGUGACCUCAUCAUCUACCAUGUGUGUGACCUCAUCAUCUACCAUGUACAAUUUCUGUCAGCCAUUGCAGACAGUUCCCUAUGUCUGCUGUGACCUGGCAGCCCUACAGUAGACUCAGCACCUCUCUAACAGCUCUCGUCCUUCUCCUCCUCCUCCUCUCCCAGGCUCCGUGGUGUUACCACCCUGGCCUCUUGCUCCUGUUUGUCUAACAGGCCGAAUAUUCUUUUACCUCACUGCUUCCUUCUAUUGUUGGAAUACGCAGACCCAAAGUCUGCAGCUUCCUCCCCCACAUGUCUCUCCUCUGGGCACAUGUCUCUCCUCUUACAGCACCUGGGCAUGGUGUUAGUUACUGACCUGUGCUAAGUCCUCCAGGUGUCAACAAUAGAAAGACAGACUAGUUGAAGGAAUGGAUGGAUUGCUCUUACUGACGUCUCCAAGCUGUGUGUUGACUGGAUUCCUGCCUCCUUGGCUUCUGCAGAGAAUGAGGGGUCUGUCACCUUCCCCAGU